UUAAUAAGGCAGUUUUUUGUUGUUGGUCUUUUGUAUAAAGUUUAAUUUUAUACAAAAGACCAACAACCAACAAUUGUAUUUUAGUGUGUCGUGAGUUUAUGAAGAUAAAGACUGUAAAGAUUGCACAAAGUAGUAGUUGCAAUAAUGAGCUUAAACUGCACAUCAUUUACAAGUAAAAAGAUAUUUAUUAAAAAAGAUUUCUAAAAUAAGAGAAAAUGUCUAUCCACAGGCAACACUCUCUAAAGAACACAAGGGGAGGCUCUCAGCGUACUGAAACACCCAUGUAAGACCAUAACAUCAUCUGCUGAGAUCAUCAGCACACUUAUACUGUGUUUUUUUAAAGGUGCUCUAUGGAGUUUUGGUAGAGAAAUGUGAAAGUUGGAGAAAUGUACAGAUUCUGUGGUAUGUGUUCAUUACUCUAUAUGCUUCUAUAGAAGUACAAUGUGACAGAGCAAAGCAGAGAGAUGAUCACCAAUGACCAAAGUGACUACAACAACAGCAAAGACAGGAAAUGUGGAAAGCCUAAAUAAGUGGGUGGGCAACAGGAGGUACCUGAGAAAUUAGUUUAAAAAGACAUUUAAUGCAGAUAUGUUGAGAUAAGAAGAACAAAUAUGUUUAAAUAUCUGAGUACUUUUCACAUUGUGAAUUAAGUCAAAGGUUUCCAUGCAGUGGCUCAUUUUUCUUCUGCUAAUUAAAACGUGCAGUAGAUCUGAUCAAACUCGUAGCUCUCUCCUUCAUCACUCGUAUGACUAUCAUUACAAGCUCCAAUGUUUUGUCAGUGGUUAUAAUGCCACUGAUGGGACUCCAAAGCCCCCUGCAGUAACAGACGGGUGAUGUCACUCUGGCUUAGUCCAUUCAUUCUUACAGGCUGUGGUUGCACACCAGAGAAAAAUUAGAUACAUUGAAAACCAACAUUUUAAACAUCUAAUCCACAUUCUAUAUUUGACCUAGCCUCCAGUGACUCCGGUGACUCCAUCGGUCCACCCCAUGUUGAGCCUGGUGUAUCUUGGAUGAUGGUGUUCAGUCCAGCCAUCACGGUCCUCUCCACCUUCCUGUGCCUGACUUUUGUUUAUCUCUGCAGUCAGAAUGCAGAUGAAAAAGAUCAAAUGACUGAGAGAAGACCUGACAUGGGAGAGGAAAGUACAGUGAAUCAGGAUGAAGACGCAUGUUUCACCAGAGUUGUGUUCUUGGUUGCAGAUGGACAGAACAAAUAGAUUGGCUUUGUCUGAGCGGACAUCACACAAGCUCCACUUCAAACGUCUCACAAAGUCUUUAGAGUCCGAGUUUAAAGACCUGUUAUAUUUGUACACAGUGAUGAUGCGUUUUGUGGGCGGAGUCAAAAUGGUGUCAGAAAGUCAGCUAGUGGUGUUGAAUUAACUGUUUGUUUGUUUGUUUUCUGGCUUCUUGCUUUCACUUGAUAAGACGGUGUAUAGAGUAGUAAACAGGAAAGAGAGAGGGGGGAAUAACGUGGUAAUGGAACCACAGGCCGGACCUGAACCACCCGCCCAGAGGACCAGAGCUUCCAAACAUUCGGGGCAACCCAACCACCAGGUCAGCUGUGCUCAUGAAUUAACAAUUGGU